GCCAGCAGUGGUGGUACACGGCAGGUGCUCACUAAGUGCUUGAUCAAACUAGCGGUGGUUCCGCUUUCUGGAUGCUUCCUUAUGUAUGCUGUUCCGGGGGAAAGACAGAAGAAACACACGCUUCUCUCUCGGGAGCUCCUUGGGUUCAGGCUGUUGGCAGAAGCAUCCCCGAACUGCGGCUGUGUAGACGCUGACGGUGGGCAGACGUCUCCAAGGCAAGCAAGAUGGGCUGGGCCAUCAGCUAGAAGAAGGCUGCAGAGCUGGGUUGCCUCUUCCUCUGCCUGGAACGGCUGCCCUGCACUCCUGCUGGGUCCUCCUGGAGCCUUCACAUGCAGCGUGGACGUCCCCACAUGGGGAUGCCCUCUCCGACCCCUCAGUGCGGUGAGGUCCCCCAGCUCUACCUUGCUGUCCCCGGGGCUCCGAGGGCCUGAGCCGAGGGUUUCUUGGGCUCACAGUUCACCUACCAGAGCACCGCCCCAUGGCGA
rnacentral:lncRNA from 1 species